rnacentral:rRNA from 1 species
AUGCAAGGCGCGGUGUCGGCGCGAGGAAGACGAGCAUAUCCGGGCACGGCGUCGACCGAUCUGGUGGUUGGAGCGGCGGCUUGUUCCGGUGCCAACGGCGUCCUGCUCAUCCAGAGAAGGAAAGAGAAGGGCUUGAGGGAGAGAGGAAACAGAGGAAGAAAGGAGAGGGAGUAUGACGAUCAGGAUUCAGGGAGAAGAAGAACGAUGGAAGAAGGAUGGCUGGCCUCCUCGGCGCAUGCCAUACAAUCUAAAGGUGCUCUAACAGGUUCAUAUCAGACAAGGCAACCACAACAGUACAACCAUCAUAAUCUCAUGGGUGAAAACAGUCAGAACCUGGAUCGAGCACUGUGUUUUACGGGACUUCAUAAGAUAAUCUCAAUUGUUCUGCAGAGGGAAAGCAUUCGCGGUGAUCUCAGUCAGAGUUUCGACUCCAAUGUCACGCUCGCUCAUUAUGAGUCCAAUUCAAAAGCCCAGGGCGAAACAAAGUCAUUCAAGCCAUACAGCAGCAGGUAUCCCACACCCUGUAAGGCUUCUGGUAGCACAUCAGUACCUUACUGCUAUUUCAUCAAAAGAGCCUAA